rnacentral:rRNA from 1 species
GGUUAAGCGACUAAGCGUACACGGUGGAUGCCUAGGCAGUCAGAGGCGAUGAAGGGCGUGCUAAUCUGCGAAAAGCGUCGGUAAGCUGAUAUGAAGCGUAAUAACCGACGAUACCCGAAUGGGGAAACCCAGUGCAAUUCGUUGCACUAUUGCAUGGUGAAUACAUAGCCAUGCAAGGCGAACCGGGGGAACUGAAACAUCUAAGUACCCCGAGGAAAAGAAAUCAACCGAGAUUCCCCCAGUAGCGGCGAGCGAACGGGGAAGAGCCCAGAGUCUGAAUCAGUUGGUGUGUUAGUGGAAGCGUCUGGAAAGUCGCACGGUACAGGGUGAUAGUCCCGUACACAAAAACACACUGGCUGUGAACUCGAUGAGUAGGGCGGGACACGUGACAUCCUGUCUGAAUAUGGGGGGACCAUCCUCCAAGGCUAAAUACUCCUGACUGACCGAUAGUGAACCAGUACCGUGAGGGAAAGGCGAAAAGAACCCCGGCGAGGGGAGUGAAAUAGAACCUGAAACCGUGUACGUACAAGCAGUGGGAGCACCUUCGUGGUGUGACUGCGUACCUUUUGUAUAAUGGGUCAGCGACUUAUAUUUUGUAGCAAGGUUAACCGAAUAGGGGAGCCGUAGGGAAACCGAGUCUUAACUGGGCGUCUAGUUGCAAGGUAUAGACCCGAAACCCGGUGAUCUAGCCAUGGGCAGGUUGAAGGUUGGGUAACACUAACUGGAGGACCGAACCGACUAAUGUUGAAAAAUUAGCGGAUGACUUGUGGCUGGGGGUGAAAGGCCAAUCAAACCGGGAGAUAGCUGGUUCUCCCCGAAAGCUAUUUAGGUAGCGCCUCGUGAACUCAUCUUCGGGGGUAGAGCACUGUUUCGGCUAGGGGUCCAUCCCGGAUUACCAAACCGAUGCAAACUCCGAAUACCGAAGAAUGUUAUCACGGGAGACACACGGCGGGUGCUAACGUCCGUCGUGAAGAGGGAAACAACCCAGACCGCCAGCUAAGGUCCCAAAGUCAUGGUUAAGUGGGAAACGAUGUGGGAAGGCAUAGACAGCCAGGAUGUUGGCUUAGAAGCAGCCAUCAUUUAAAGAAAGCGUAAUAGCUCACUGGUCGAGUCGGCCUGCGCGGAAGAUGUAACGGGGCUAAACCAUGCACCGAAGCUGCGGCAGCGACGCUUAGGCGUUGUUGGGUAGGGGAGCGUUCUGUAAGCCGUUGAAGGUGGCCUGUGAGGGCUGCUGGAGGUAUCAGAAGUGCGAAUGCUGACAUAAGUAACGAUAAUGCGGGUGAAAAACCCGCACGCCGGAAGACCAAGGGUUCCUGUCCAACGUUAAUCGGGGCAGGGUGAGUCGACCCCUAAGGCGAGGCUGAAAAGCGUAGUCGAUGGGAAACAGGUUAAUAUUCCUGUACUGGGUGUGACUGCGAAGGGGGGACGGAGAAGGCUAGGCUAGCCGGGCGACGGUUGUCCCGGUUUAAGCAUGUAGGCGGAGCGACUUGGUAAAUCCGGUUGCUUAUCAACGCUGAGGUGUGAUGACGAGCCACUACGGUGGUGAAGUAGUUGAUGCCAAGCUUCCAGGAAAAGCCUCUAAGCAUCAGGUGACAUUCAAUCGUACCCCAAACCGACACAGGUGGUCAGGUAGAGAAUACUCAGGCGCUUGAGAGAACUCGGGUGAAGGAACUAGGCAAAAUGGUGCCGUAACUUCGGGAGAAGGCACGCUGGCAUUAGGUAAAGAGACUUGCUCUCGGCGCCGAAGCCAGUCGCAGAUACCAGCUGGCUGCAACUGUUUAAUAAAAACACAGCACUGUGCAAACACGAAAGUGGACGUAUACGGUGUGACGCCUGCCCGGUGCUGGAAGGUUAAUUGAUGGGGUCAGCCGCAAGGCGAAGCUCUUGAUCGAAGCCCCAGUAAACGGCGGCCGUAACUAUAACGGUCCUAAGGUAGCGAAAUUCCUUGUCGGGUAAGUUCCGACCUGCACGAAUGGCGUAAUGAUGGCCAGGCUGUCUCCACCCGAGACUCAGUGAAAUUGAACUCGCUGUGAAGAUGCAGUGUACCCGCGGCAAGACGGAAAGACCCCGUGAACCUUUACUAUAGCUUGACACUGAAUAUUGAGCCUUGAUGUGUAGGAUAGGUGGGAGGCAUUGAAGCGUGGACGCCAGUCUGCGUGGAGCCAACCUUGAAAUACCACCCUUUAAUGUUUGAUGUUCUAACUCGGCCCCAUAAUCUGGGGUGAGGACAGUGUCUGGUGGGUAGUUUGACUGGGGCGGUCU